rnacentral:rRNA from 1 species
UACGGAGGGUGCAAGCGUUGUCCGGAAUCACUGGGCGUAAAGGGCGCGUAGGCGGCUCAUGAAGGCUGUGGUGAAAGUCCGGGGCUCAACCUCGGAUCGGCCGUGGCGACUCGUGGGCUGGAGCACUGUAGAGGCAGGUGGAAUUCCGGGUGUAGCGGUGGAAUGCGUAGAGAUCCGGAAGAACACCAGUGGCGAAGGCGGCCUGCUGGGCAGUGGCUGACGCUGAGGCGCGACAGCGUGGGGAGCAAACAG